UUGCCAGACUCCUACGGGAGGCAGCAGUGGGGAAUAUUGCGCAAUGGGGGAAACCCUGACGCAGCAACGCCGCGUGCGGGAUGAAGGCUUUCGGGUUGUAAACCGCUUUCAGCAGGGAAGAUAAUGACGGUACCUGCAGAAGAAGCCCCGGCUAACUACGUGCCAGCAGCCGCGGUAAUACGUAGGGGGCAAGCGUUAUCCGGAUUUACUGGGUGUAAAGGGAGCGUAGACGGCAGUGCAAGUCCGGAGUGAAAGCCCGGGGCUCAACCCUGGGACUGCUCUGGAAACUGUAAAGCUGGAGUGCGGGAGGGGCAGGCGGAAUUCCUGGUGUAGCGGUGAAAUGCGUAGAUAUCAGGAGGAACACCGGCGGCGAAGGCGGCCUGCUGGACCGUAACUGACGUUGAGGCUCGAAAGCGUGGGGAGCAAACAGGAUUAGAUACCCCGGUAA
rnacentral:rRNA from 1 species